GGAAGCAGAGCGUUACCAACAAUUCCCAAUUUCAUCAUUAACAUGGCUGAAGGUUUGUUAAGGAACAUACGUGUCAUUGGUGGGAAAAGGAGCAAAUUAACGAUUUUAGAUGGUAUUAGUGGCAUCGUUAGACCUUCCAGAUUGACACUUCUACUAGGUCCUCCAAGUUCUGGGAAGACAACAUU